rnacentral:rRNA from 1 species
GAUGAACGCUGGCGGCGUGCCUAAUACAUGCAAGUCGAGCGAACAGACGAGGAGCUUGCUCCUUUGACGUUAGCGGCGGACGGGUGAGUAACACGUGGAUAACCUACCUAUAAGACUGGGAUAACUUCGGGAAACCGGAGCUAAUACCGGAUAACAUGUUGAACCGAAUGGUUCAACAGUGAAAGACGGUCUUGCUGUCACUUAUAGAUGGAUCCGCGCCGCAUUAGCUAGUUGGUAAGGUAACGGCUUACCAAGGCAACGAUGCGUAGCCGACCUGAGAGGGUGAUCGGCCACACUGGAACUGAGACACGGUCCAGACUCCUACGGGAGGCAGCAGUAGGGAAUCUUCCGCAAUGGGCGAAAGCCUGACGGAGCAACGCCGCGUGAGUGAAGAAGGUCUUCGGAUCGUAAAACUCUGUUAUUAGGGAAGAACAAAUGUGUAAGUAACUAUGCACGUCUUGACGGUACCUAAUCAGAAAGCCACGGCUAACUACGUG